AGAGUUUGAUCCUGGCUCAGAAUCAACGCUGGCGGCGCGCUUAACACAUGCAAGUCGAGCGAGAAAGUGGAGCAAUCCAUGAGUAAAGCGGCGUACGGGUGGGUAACACGUGGAUCAUCUACCUUCUUGUGGGGGAUAACCCUGGGAAACCGGAGCUAAUACCGCAUAAGCCUGUAAAGGGAAAGCAGCAAUGCGCUGGAAGAGGAAGUCCGCGGCCGAUUAGCUAGUUGGUGAGGUAACGGCCCACCAAGGCGAUGAUCGGUAGCCGGCCUGAGAGGGCACACGGCCACACUGGCACUGAAACACGGGCCAGACUCCUACGGGAGGCAGCAGUGGGGAAUCUUGCACAAUGGGGGCAACCCUGAUGCAGCGACGCCGCGUGAACGAUGAAGCCCCUCGGGGUGUAAAGUUCUUUCGGCAGGGACGAUAAUGACGGUAC
rnacentral:rRNA from 1 species